UGGGGAAUAUUGCACAAUGGGCGAAAGCCUGAUGCAGCAACGCCGCGUGAGUGAUGAAGGUCUUCGGAUUGUAAAGCUCUGUCUUUUGGGACGAUAAUGACGGUACCAAAGGAGGAAGCCACGGCUAACUACGUGCCAGCAGCCGCGGUAAUACGUAGGUGGCGAGCGUUGUCCGGAUUUACUGGGCGUAAAGGGUGCGUAGGCGGAUGUUUAAGUGAGAUGUGAAAUACCCGGGCUUAACUUGGGUGCUGCAUUUCAAACUGGAUAUCUAGAGUGCAGGAGAGGAGAAUGGAAUUCCUAGUGUAGCGGUGAAAUGCGUAGAGAUUAGGAAGAACACCAGUGGCGAAGGCGAUUCUCUGGACUGUAACUGACGCUGAGGCACGAAAGCGUGGGUAGCAAACAGGAUUAGAUACCCUGGUAUCCACGCCGUAAACGAUGAGUACUAGGUGUAGGAGGUAUCGACCCCUUCUGUGCCGCAGUAAACACAUU
rnacentral:rRNA from 1 species